rnacentral:rRNA from 1 species
CCUACGGGGGGCAGCAGUGGGGAAUAUUGGACAAUGGGCGAAAGCCUGAUCCAGCCAUGCCGCGUGUGUGAAGAAGGCCUUCGGGUUGUAAAGCACUUUCAGUGGGGAAGAAAGCCUUGGGGCUAAUACCCUCGAGGAAGGACAUCACCCACAGAAGAAGCACCGGCUAACUCCGUGCCAGCAGCCGCGGUAAUACGGAGGGUGCGGGCGUUAAUCGGAAUUACUGGGCGUAAAGCGCGCGUAGGCGGUCUGAUAAGCCGGUUGUGAAAGCCCCGGGCUCAACCUGGGAACGGCAUCCGGAACUGUCAGGCUAGAGUGCAGGAGAGGAAGGUAGAAUUCCCGGUGUAGCGGUGAAAUGCGUAGAGAUCGGGAGGAAUACCAGUGGCGAAGGCGGCCUUCUGGACUGACACUGACGCUGAGGUGCGAAAGCGUGGGUAGCAAACAGGAUUAGAUACCCUAGUAGUC